AUUGAACGCUGGCGGCAGGCCUAACACAUGCAAGUCGAGCGCGAAAAUUCCUUCGGGAUGAGUAGAGCGGCGGACGGGUGAGUAAUGCGCAGAAAUCUGCCCAGUAGUGGGGGACAACCUGGUGAAAACCAGGCUAAUACCGCAUACGCCCUACGGGGAAAGCAGGGGAUCUUCGGACCUUGCGCUAUUGGAUGAGUCUGCGUCGGAUUAGCUUGUUGGUGAGGUAAUGGCUCACCAAGGCGACGAUCCGUAGCUGGUCUGAGAGGAUGAUCAGCCACACUGGGACUGAGACACGGCCCAGACUCCUACGGGAGGCAGCAGUGGGGAAUAUUGGACAAUGGGCGAAAGCCUGAUCCAGCCAUGCCGCGUGUGUGAAGAAGGCUCUAGGGUUGUAAAGCACUUUCAGUGGGGAAGAAAGCCUUGUUAGCUAAUAACUGACGAGUGUGACCAUUACCCACAGAAGAAGCACCGGC
rnacentral:rRNA from 1 species